rnacentral:rRNA from 1 species
GACGAACGCUGGCGGCGUGCUUAACACAUGCGAGUCGAACGGUGAAGCGCCUUCCUUUUUGGUGGGUGUGGAUGAGUGGCGAACGGGUGAGUAACACGUGAGUAACCUGCCCCCUUCUUCUGGAUAACCGCAUGAAAGUGUGGCUAAUACGGGAUAUUCUGGGUCUGUCGCAUGAUGGGUCUGGGAAAGAUAUUGUUUCGGUGGGGGAUGGGCUCGCGGCCUAUCAGCUUGUUGGUGGGGUGAUGGCCUACCAAGGCGGUGGCGGGUAGCCGGCCUGGGAGGGUGGACGGUCACACUGGGACUGAGACACGGCCCAGACUCCUACGAGAGGCAGCAGUGGGGAAUAUUGCACAAUGGGCGCAAGCCUGAUGCAGCGACGCCGCGUGAGGGAUGGAGGCCUGCGGGUUGUGAACCUCUUUCGCCAGUGAAGCAGGCCUGCCUCGUUUGUGGGUGGGUUGACGGUAGCUGGAUAAGAAGCGCCGGCUAACUACGUG